UGGUACCGUAUAUCUGACUAAAUUAUAACUGUCAUGUAGAUAUGGGGUAUCCAUAAUCUCCACACUAUUGCCGUCGUAUGCCCUGGGCUUCGGCAGCCACGCCGUGACGACGCUGGAGAAGACCUGACCAUGAAAAUCCUGAAACUCUGAAACGAUUUCA
rnacentral:snoRNA from 1 species